rnacentral:rRNA from 1 species
AGAGUUUGAUCCUGGCUCAGGACGAACGCUGGCGGCGUGCUUAACACAUGCAAGUCGAACGGAGUACCCUCGAAAGAGAUUUCGGUCAAUGGAGAGGACUACUUAGUGGCGGACGGGUGAGUAACGCGUGAGGAACCUGCCUUUCAGAGGGGGACAACAGUUGGAAACGACUGCUAAUACCGCAUAACGUACGGGUAUCGCAUGGUACUGGUACCAAAGAUUUAUCGCUGAGAGAUGGCCUCGCGUCUGAUUAGCUAGUUGGUAGGGUAACGGCCUACCAAGGCGACGAUCAGUAGCCGGACUGAGAGGUUGGCCGGCCACAUUGGGACUGAGAUACGGCCCAGACUCCUACGGGAGGCAGCAGUGGGGAAUAUUGGGCAAUGGGCGCAAGCCUGACCCAGCAACGCCGCGUGAAGGAAGAAGGCUUUCGGGUUGUAAACUUCUUUUGACAGGGAAGAGCAGAAGACGGUACCUGUCGAAUAAGCCACGGCUAACUACGUG